rnacentral:rRNA from 1 species
UACGUAGGUGGCGAGCGUUGUCCGGAUUUACUGGGCGUAAAGGGAGCGUAGGCGGACUUUUAAGUGAGAUGUGAAAUACUAGGGCUCAACUUGAGUGCUGCAUUUCAAACUGGAAGUCUAGAGUGCAGGAGAGGAGAAUGGAAUUCCUAGUGUAGCGGUGAAAUGCGUAGAGAUUAGGAAGAACACCAGUGGCGAAGGCGGUUCUCUGGACUGUAACUGACGCUGAGGCUCGAAAGCGUGGGGAGCAAACAGG